GUGGAGGUAAGGCUACAGGUGGGGGUGGUGAGUGGAUAAGUGGCGGUGGAGGUGACGCUACCGGAGGCGGUGGUGAGUGAACGGGAGGUGGAGGUGACGCUACCGGAGGCGGUGGUGAGUGAACGGGAGGUGGAGGUGGAGGUGAGGCCACUGGUGGCGGUGGUGAGUGAACGGGAGGUGGAGGUGAAGCCAUUGUUGGUGGUGGUGGUGAGUGGACGGGAGGUGGAGGUGACGCCACUGGAGGCGGUGGUGAGUGGACGGGAGGUGGAGGUGAGGCCACUGGUGGUGGUGGAGAUCGAGCUGGAGGUGGUGGUGAAGCCACUGGGGAUGGAGGUGAAGCCAGUGGUGGUGGUGGUGAGUGGACUGGAGGUGGAGGUGAUGCCACCGGUGGUGGUGGAGAUUGGACUAGAGGUGGUGGCGGUGAUGGUGGUGGUAAAGUAUUUGGUGGUGGGGGAGGUGAGGCAACUGGAGGUGGGGAUGGGGGUAAAUAAUUUGGUGGUGGGGGAGGUGAGGCAACUGGCGGUGGUGGAGAUGUGACCGGGGGUGGAAUGGUGGUUUUUGGUGGAGGUGAUUUGGGAGUCGGUGGUGGCGAUAGGGUUGGAGUAGAUACAUGAGGUGGCUUUGGUUUUGGACUCGUAGGUUUUGGUGGAG
rnacentral:lncRNA from 1 species